AUAGUCUGUGGUUAUAAUUUUGUAGUCUCAGAGGUGAAAGGCGACUGAUGAAUUUUAAGACUGCAUUUUUGAACACGGCAAGACUGUUCCAAGCCUUGGAUGAUUUUUAUGUGCAGAUAUUUCAAUUAUUUGAAUCUUACUAUAAAUACAAUGUUGUUGAGUGUCUUAAGUAAAAUCUUAAGAAACUUUAAUUCUACAAGUGCUCUAUAUACAUAGCUAUUGUCAGACUAAAAGAGAUAGGAAGAGAAAGAGCAGCUCAAUGUUAAACUUUGUUAGAGAGGUCUGAAAUUAUUUCCCUGGCCUGCCACCCAUCUCUGGUGAUCUUUGUCAGCCCUAUUAUAGCUCUACUUUUAUGAAUGACCGCAAUGGCAAUGUUGUCUUCUUCAAGAAUUACAUCACUUGGCUGCCCUGCUUGUUGCCUAAAUUACUGCAUAAACAUAUAGAUUUUUGCAUGGUAUGGAAGGCACUAUAAUCAGUUCUUGAAUUUAUUUGCUUGUUUACAAUAUAGAAAGCUGGACAGGAUAGUUUUGAAGGCAACUGUAUGUCUGCUUGUAACAAAAUAUUAGACUACCCCCUUUAGGCCCCACAGCACUGCAGAAGGAUUAUGUUUAUUUUCCAUCUCAAAGGAAUCUAUGAGCACAAAAGCAUUCACGUCCAGAUACUGUAAUGAUAGAGAGAGUACAUAUACCUUUAUAAAAACUAACAUAAAUGCAUUAUUUAUAAAGCAACAAGACACUGAAGAAUAAGAUGUGGAAACAAAGAGCAGCAACGCAAGUCCUUCAUCGCUUCUCCUAUUUCUUUCGUAGGAAAAGAAUACCACUGAAGCUAUGAUGAUUUGUGUUGUCUAUUAUAAAAGAUGCAUUUGAGAAAUAUUUAGCAAGAGCAAGCCACAAAUGCAUAGCCAUAAAAAUAAAUAUCUCCAAAGUAAAGAGAAAGCUCAAGCACUGUUUAAUAGCAACUCGCCAGAUAGACAGCUUUCAUAACUGCAUAGCUUGGUUUCUCUAUUAUUGGAUUCCCACCCAAGAAAUAUUACACCACUAAAACUAUUAUGUUGAGUUUUGUCCAAGACAAAAGGUUCAUUAUAGAUUUGAAUAAAAAUUAUUCUCUUUCCCUUGGAAAUACUGUGAGAGAAUAUUAUGCUAAGAUAACUAUGUAAGAGCAGCUGAAUAAUAUGGCCUUUAUUACUCCUAUUAUUAUUAGUGAAAUAAUAUUUAAAGUGUUCACAUUUUUAUUAAAAAUAAUUUAUUUUUAUUCCACUUGUGUUUUAAAAAAAUCCCUACCAAAAAUUUAUCUUAAUAGUGCAUUGGAACAUGGAUAUUUUGACUUUAUAAAAAUAAUUAUGUAAUGAUUUGUAAUUUUAAAUAAAGAAAAUAAAUUAAAAUAUCAAAUACUGCAUAUAGUCCUCACAGUAGCAUUUCUGCCAUUUACUCAUGUUCUAAAUGUGGAAGCUAAGGUUUAACAUCACCAAAUAAUCUAUAUACUAUAGUCUUCAGAAUUCAAGAAUGUAUUUGUUUAUAGGUAUGAAUAAUUUAAUUAAAUAAUGAAAAGAAUUUAAUAACUACAGAAAUAAGUGUUUUGGCUUUUUCUUUUUUCUUUUUUUUUUCGUUAAAACAAAUACAGUAUUCAUAAGCACAGAAAAUACCUAUGUUCUUUAUAUAAAUUGCCUUCAAACAACCAGUAUGCUAUCAUAAUACCAUUAGAAUUGGUGUUUACUGCAGCUGCCUAUCACCUAAUGCCUUGUAUGCAUAUCAACAUUACAAUUAAUUUUGAUCAAGAUACUUCAAAUUUUGUAUAUAUACCUGGUAUAAAAGGAAUACAACACCUUAUUUUGUAAGUGAAACAAUGUUAAUAAUAACGUUUUGCAGUUAAUUAUUUCAUAUUAAAAACAAAGGUAAGGUAUUGUCUUGUUCACGCUCUGGAAUCAGGUGUCUUCUGCUGAUAAAACAAACUCGUGAUGGGGACCAUUUGUAGAGAGUAGUAAUGAAAUCACAUUGUGACUCCCAAGAAUGAGACCAAAGAGAUGAUUACCAGCUGAAGAUAAAUUAAGAAUUAGUGUUGCAAUGAAUUUAUAUGGCAUCAAGAAACAGAAUGCACAGAAAGUUUAGUUCAGAGUGAUAACUCUAAGUGGAGGCACAUAAAGCAUGACAUAGUAAACUCCAAACUGUGAAAGAUGGUAGCUUAAGGAAUGUUUAAAAUACUGCCAAGUAGCCAGGAUGAAAAUGAGGAGGUCAGGCUAAGAAAUCCACAAGUCUGAAGUCAUAAUACUGUCCAGUAGAUGACUACAACAGUUUUGAAGGGGCAUAAGAUUUCUUUUCAGACAUUGCAUUUCUAACACAAGCUACAUUUUUUUUGCAGCUGAUAUAUAAAAGCUAUCUAUGAUCGCUGUGUUUUGGGGAGGACACUUUUUUUGUGUGUGUGUGUUGUUUGUUUUCACAUAUUAUAUAGGAUCUACAAACAGAUGCAUUGCUCUGCAGAGAUUUUGUUCUUGAAGCAUGGGCUCCCUCUGUCUGUACAUUUUGUCUUUUAAAAAGGUUGGUUCGAUCCUGCAGCUUGUGAAAUUAUCUUUCCCUUCUUCCUUGCACAUUUUCAAUAUGAAAACAUUAUUUCAUUCAAAAAAUGGCUAUACAUUUGAAACUGAUGUUUAAAUAUACCUUCAUGUUCUCUUAGAAUCAUAUUAUCAUUUGAGUUGGAAGGGACUUUUAAAGGCCAUCUAGUUUAACUCACCUGCAAUGAGCAGAGAAACUUACAACUGUCACAUUGCUCAGAGCCCCAUUCAGUCGGACCUUGAGUGUCUCCAAGGAUGGGGCUUCCAUCACACCUUCUUGUGAAAAACAUUAUUGUCUUAGGUUAGUUAACUUAUUUGUCAGUGAUCUUAAGCUUAGUAUUAUAUGCUUAUGUUCACUGUCGACUGUUUAUGGGCUGGUCCGGCCUGGUUCCGUGACUGGUGGGGUGGAGGGAUUUCUUUUGCAAAAUCCACACCUCUGGAAAAGGGAAACAGGGGACCCCCCACAAAAAAAAAAGAAUAAUUAAAAAAACAGUGGCAACGAUCUGAGAAGAAACAAACUAAUUUACUAAAUAUAUAGUAUUGGGAUUUACUAAAUAUAGUAUUGGAAUGCACGAUAACACACUAUAAUACAAUAUAAUUCAAUAUAAUUGUUAAAAAAAAUCAAAUAUAAUUGCGAGAAGGAUUGUCUGAGAACUAAAGGCCUUACACUAAUACUGAAGCCUUGCGUGCAGUCGGGAGCAGCAGCAAGAUGAUCCGAAAGCAAGCACGACGAGACGAGAGGGAGAAAAAACUCAGGUCAGUUGACCUACAGGCCUUAUAACUGUUCCCAUGAGCAGGAAUAACAGUAUUCGAACAGUAUUCUGGGGAAUGUAGUUCUUUUCCAGACAAGUACCCAGAACUAGAGCAUUUGCUCUUUAACUCCCAGUACACUGCAUGAUGUUAUGAUGUGGAAUACCGAUAACCAAAAAUCAUAAAACCAUGACAGAAUGCUAGUGGAUUAACAAGGAAGACAGAUGGAGUAGGUGUCAGUGUUUUUGUACUUAAUACAUUCCUUUGCAUAGGAGAAAAUACUGAUUUAAUGGCUUUGUUGUCUUUCCCUCUUUUCCAUGCAAAGGCAUCAGAUCUGAAGUUCCUUUUUUUUUUUUUUUUCACUUAACUCACCUCUUGCCACCCAUCAUCAGUAACUUAUAAACUUCAAUUAACUACCUCUUGAAAAGUUUGCUGUUGACUUCCCUUAAUUAAAAGAUUAAAGUUGUGUUUUUCUUGUGUAGCAGUACAUCUCUCAUACAAUAAAUUGAUUCUAGCAAUCGUGUAAACAGACAAAUUCAUUAGGUUUGGUUUCUUUUUUCAAAUUUUAUACCUUUUUAAUUGUUACACUGUAUCCUUCCUUACUUUGCAUGCACUGUGCCAAGUGCAUGAAUAUUGACUUAUUAUAAUAAGUUGGCAUCUUGUUGUACUUCUGUACAGUAGCCUGUGCUAUAGACAUCUGAAAACAUUUGAUUAAAAAGCUGGAGAACUGUUGCUGUGUGCAAGAUUUAUAAAGGGAAUUUUAGGAUUCUUUUUUUUCCCUUUAUUGCGAGCAAUGCAUUAAAUGGCACUUAAAAAAAAAUAAAGGAAAAAAGAAAAAAAGACAUCUAAAUUAUGGCGCAGAUAUAUGUUUAUGAAACAGAAGCUGAAAAAAAUUAUCUGCAAUCUUUAUAAUUAGAGAAAAAUAAAUUAGUUUUGAAUGAGACCUAAAAAGAGAGAAGGCAUUGAGUUUCUGCAGGUAAUGACCAGCAAUCUGUAAACAACCUUAUGUGUCAAGAUACAUAUAGUAGCUUAAUUGGGAAACACAAUACCUAAAGGCAAAAAACAGAUGGCAGAUUAAUUGGCAGUAGCAAGAAAAAGUCACACCAUUGCCACAUUCAGCUUUGGGAUGUAACAAUGCCUGAAAUUGGCUAAGAAAGAGAAGCAUCAUAUACAAAGGUUGCAGAAAACAUCAGACAUCUCUGUGAAGCAUGUGGCACAUUUACGAUUAUCCAAGAUAAAAUCAUCAAGUACAAAGAACUUAUUAGAAAUAGACUUACUCCACCGCAGAAGGGAAGAUAUCAAAGCCUGAAACGAGCUGCUCCCAGAAACUGAAGUAAUAUGAGAGUAGAGCACUGCUUAUUAUGAAUUUACUGUUCUUGCAUAUGCACCCUUAGAAGAUAUUUGUUCCCGACUAAAAGAGAUUAUAAAAAUAGAGUUUUACCAAGUUAAACUUAACAUUCAUACUCAAAAGCAGUCAGCCAUGAAAACUAAAGUUAACUUACUCUGUAGUUACUUGUUGAAAUGGAAUAUUUAGAAUGUUCUAAGUCAGCUCAUUAGUGUUAUGGUGAAGUUCACAUCUGAAAUUAACAGAGCUCCCAAUGCCCCAACAAAAUUUAUAGGGUAAACAGUGUUUUUACUUCUCACAUCUCAUCUUCAUUUAUACUCAUUCUUCUGAGUGCAGUGAGAAGCAAGUAAAACAAAACAAACCCCCAUUCAUUUAACAUCUUUUCUGGGCCAGAAGUCUUCUAACCAUCCCUGGGAGCACAGGUGAAAGCAGGAAAUCCGAGGGUCCAUCCCUUUCUAACCUCAUUUAAGGGCCAGUAGGUAGGAGACAAACAUCUCUACUCAGAGAUUGUAUCCUUCAACAAUUUUUUUCUCAGUGAGCUCUCACCGUCAAGACAGGGUAAGUUAUCCCUUUGGCUUGUGAUUAAUACCUUUCACAGCUUCUCCUAAAACUGGUCAGAUACAAUUUCUUACCUCUUUGUCCAAUACACAGGGAUUUCCCAAUUCCAGGUAGAUUUCUACCGGAAGUUUUAAAUACCAUAGAAAGCAGAUUUGUGUGUUUAUUUGCAGGAAAUGGACCACAAUUAAACUGAAAGAAGCAAUGAAGACAUUCUGUAGGCCAGUAUUUUCCCACUGGUGUCCAGGUGAAAUUAACCUCCUGAGUUUGAGACCAACCAACUAAUGACAACUUGCCCACAGAACUAAGAGAAAACCCUGAAGUCAAUUUUACCCUCAGAUAAACAAAGAAAAUGUCAUUGGCAUAGAAAUCUAGAAGAGAACUAAUGGGAAAUUUCACAAACACUGGCUAAUAUUAUUGAAAGACAGAAGAGAAAGAAAUGGAGGAGGCAGAUUCUGAAAACGUCUUGAAAAACUGAAAUCUACUUUUUUUUUUUUUUUUUAAUCUGCUUUUAAAACAAUCUGUCAAAGGCUAACAGGAUGACAAAGGUUAAAAAGUGUACUUUUCAAAAUAAAAUGAGGUUUCUAGUACUACUCCGCGAAAUGCCAGAAAAGAAGAAGGUGGCAUAUCAUCAGUCUGUGACUGUGAAUAGAACUAUCUGAUAAAGGAAAUUGAGAAUUACACCCCCAGGCCCCCCAGUCCCCAACAAAAAAAGAAAAUAAUUAAAUAAAAGUAAUAACAGUGAUAAUAAUGUAAUGUUGCUGUUAUGAUUUAUUUGAAUGAUUUAUAUAGGUGCUGCAGUAUUCUGCAAAGAGUACAUUUAGAAAUCUGUUCAGUGAGUGAGACUGAGUUUUAUUAACCUAAUCUUCCUAAAUAUUUUUUUUAAAGCAAAAUAUAUGGGAGAAAAAAAUGGGAACAAAAAUGGUGGGUAAUUUAUUACUGCAGUUUGCUGCAGAUUUAUUUUAGAAAAAAAUCCUGAUUACAAAAAUUAUACUGUUUGGCACACACCACUAAUGCAGUCCUAAUCUUGUCAUAAAUCAUUACAAUACCAACAGAAGUACCUAAUCUCAUAUAUUAUAGUAUGACAUAUGACUUUUUCCUGAUACAUUUUGCUAAGUAACUGCUUCCCCUUAUAUACAGCACAAAAAUCUGCUGCUCUACAGUAUAGAUUUUUCCCCUUUAAUUCAACAUUCGUCACAAUUUCAGACCAUUGAAUUUUCAUGAACAAUGAUAAAGCAGUAUCUGUGAUGUCUUCAUAGACAAAGAAACCUGCUUUGUUCAUAAUAAUUCUUAUUUCUAAGGUCAAUUUUUCCCAUUCUCUUGACUUUGCAUUAUCAAAUCAAUACUAAUCCUUGUGAACGCUCAUCAGGGAAGAAGGUAAAUUAGCAUUGUAUUUUAUUUUUUUAUGAAGAAACAAUCAUCUUCACUUUUAAAUGUCAUAGAAAAAUGUAUACAUCAAUGUUUCUAACAGAUAAGAGGUAUUUCAGUAGCUUUUGGGAACUGGAAAUAUAUAUAUUUUAAAAUGUAUUUCUUAGUUAUCUUCUUCCUGGAGUUAUCAAUGAAAUCUUACCAAGAUUAAACUGCUUUUGAUUCAGAAACUGCUUUCAAAGAAAAUCUGGUAAAAAAAUAAAAAUAAAAGAGCCUCAAGAUUUCUUAAUUGUAGAAUCUACUUCUAAAGUGGUGUUUUGAAAGAAAAGUUCUUCAGAAGUUUAUAGUCAGGUUUCUAAUAAGAACUGUAGCUGUGCAGGUUAUAUAGCAUUUACUGUUUAGUAAUAGCAGGGAAUCUGGAGCCAGUGAUGCAAACACACAUAUUUAACAGCACAAGUGGAUCCCGUGGGGAGUUUGCUCACACUUAGAACCUGUCACAGCCAUACACCAAUAUAUCCCCUUGGAUAUUUUAAAACCCUAUAUGUGCAUUUAUUGUAAUGAUUGUUCUGAAAGAUGUGUAAAGAAGCAAAGUGUUUCUAAUUAAAUAUAGUGUAAAGUGUAUCUUUAAAUAAAGUGUAUCUAAUUAAAUAAAUAAUUGCAGGAACAGAAAAAUAUGGCUUCACUACUUGCUCUGAGGAACAACUGAUAUUUUUUUUUUAUCGCCUACAGAUAUAUCUCUAGCCCAAAGGCAUGUGAAAAGAACAAUAUCCAGUCAACACUAAUUUUGAAGGUACUACAGAUAAAAUUUGCAAACAUUCGCCCUUAAAAUUACCAGGCAUUUAUUCAGGAAUUUACCAAGCUAUAGUUUCCUGUCAAACCUAAUCCAAUAUAUUUUUGAGAUGCUGCCCAGUCUCUUUUUCCCACCGCUUCCCCUAUAUCAUCUGUCUUGAUGCAACUUCCCUAGGGGAUAAGCUCGUUCAGCUCACUGACAGAUGCUACAGUUCUCAGCAUGUGGGUGGGAAGAGUGGAUUAAUUUUCUAUCAGAUGAGUGAAUCAGCCAACUCAUCUUGUGGGCUCAAGCUUGUAAGUGAAAAGGUAGGAGUGUGUAGUUGGUAAACGAGAGCUUUCAGUCACUGUCUUAAUUUAGCUGCAGUAAAGAACUGUCCUUGUUACUCUGCGGUUAUGAUCCCAAGAACACGUAUAAGAUUACUUGGAAAAUCUUCAACAGAAAAUACUGCCAAGCAAUUUAUUCAUGCACAAAAUUGUGUUUGUGAACAGAAUUACAUAUAUUACAUACACUACAUUUGUUAUCUAAGUCUGAAGUCUACUCUCUGGCCAGUGGCAUGCUGCCCAAACCUUUAUGAGCACACAGCCACAACUCAGUGAUAAAGCAACAGACACCACAUUUGUCUUUUAGCUGGCAAUUGCUUCAGUGUAGCCUCUUGUGCAGAUGGUGUAAUGUUCUGUUGUUUUUCUAGGGUUAAAGUCUAAUAGCAUAGAAUAAAACCAAAGGUUUCCAUUAACCACUCUCAUUAGAAGCUGGAAUAGAGGUGGAAAAAGUGGCUUGCAACUUGCACCAGUCUCAGCUAAGCAGAGCUGGGCAACUGCCAGCACAGAUAUCAG
ensembl:lncRNA